UACGUAGGUGGCAAGCGAUACUCGGAAUCACUAGGCGUAAAGCGCAGGUAGGAGGUUUGGUAAGUCUAUUGUGAAAGCUCCCGGCUUAACUGGGAGAGGUCAAUGGAAACUACCAGGCUAGAGUGCGGUAGAGGUAGCUGGAAUUCCCGGAUGUAGCGGUGAAAUGGCGUAGAUAUCGGGAGGAAUACCUAUGGCGAAGGCAGCUCUCGUGG
rnacentral:rRNA from 1 species